rnacentral:rRNA from 1 species
UGCUACCUGGUUGAUCCUGCCAGUAGUCAUAUGC